rnacentral:rRNA from 1 species
GACGUAGGGCGCGAGCGUUGUCCGGAUUUAUUGGGCGUAAAGAGCUCGUAGGCGGCUUGUCGCGUCGACUGUGAAAACCCACAGCUCAACUGUGGGCUUGCGGUCGAUACGGGCAGGCUAGAGUUCGGUAGGGGAGACUGGAAUUCCUGGUGUAGCGGUGAAAUGCGCAGAUAUCAGGAGGAACACCGGUGGCGAAGGCAGAUCUCUGGGCCGUAACUGACGCUGGAGGAAGCGAAAGCAUGGGGAGCGAACAGG